rnacentral:rRNA from 1 species
GAUGAACGCUGGCGGCGUGCCUAAUACAUGCAAGUCGAGCGAACAGACGAGGAGCUUGCUCCUCUGACGUUAGCGGCGGACGGGUGAGUAACACGUGGAUAACCUACCUAUAAGACUGGGAUAACUUCGGGAAACCGGAGCUAAUACCGGAUAAUAUAUUGAACCGCAUGGUUCAAUAGUGAAAGACGGUUUUGCUGUCACUUAUAGAUGGAUCCGCGCCGCAUUAGCUAGUUGGUAAGGUAACGGCUUACCAAGGCAACGAUGCGUAGCCGACCUGAGAGGGUGAUCGGCCACACUGGAACUGAGACACGGUCCAGACUCCUACGGGAGGCAGCAGUAGGGAAUCUUCCGCAACGGGCGAAAGCCUGACGGAGCAACGCCGCGUGAGUGAUGAAGGUCUUCGGAUCGUAAAACGCUGUUAUUAGGGAAGAACAAAUGUGUAAGUAACUAUGCACGUCUUGACGGUACCUAUCAGAAAGCCACGGCUAACUACGUG